GAUAUAAAGCUAUACAGUGUGGCCGCACCAGAGUGCAAGUGCCCAAUAGUGUCCGCUCUUAGAGGCUAAGCAGGGCUGUGCCUAGUUAGUACUUGGAUAGGACACCAACUUCAAAGACCAGGGGCUGGUAUCC
rnacentral:rRNA from 12 species